rnacentral:rRNA from 1 species
AUGGGAACGCGAAGAACCUUACCUACUCUUGACAUCCAGAGAACUUAGCAGAGAUGCUUUGGUGCCUUCGGGAACUCUGAGACAGGUGCUGCAUGGCUGUCGUCAGCUCGUGUUGUGAAAUGUUGGGUUAAGUCCCGCAACGAGCGCAACCCUUGUCCUUAGUUACCAGCACAUAAUGGUGGGCACUCUAAGGAGACUGCCGGUGACAAACCGGAGGAAGGUGGGGAUGACGUCAAGUCAUCAUGGCCCUUACGGCCUGGGCUACACACGUGCUACAAUGGUCGGUACAGAGGGUUGCCAAGCCGCGAGGUGGAGCUAAUCUCACAAAACCGAUCGUAGUCCGGAUCGCAGUCUGCAACUCGACUGCGUGAAGUCGGAAUCGCUAGUAAUCGCGAAUCAGAAUGUCGCGGUGAAUACGUUCCCGGGUCUUGUACACACCG